UACGGAGGGGGCGAGCGUUAUUCGGAAUUAUUGGGCGUAAAGGGCGCGUAGGCGGCUGUACAAGUCAAAGGUGAAAUCCCUCGGCUCAACUGAGGAACUGCCUUUGAAACUGUACGGCUUGAGGCCGGGAGGGGGUAGCGGAAUUCCCAGUGUAGCGGUGAAAUGCGUUGAUAUCGGAAGGAAUGCCGGUGGCGAAAGCGACGUACUGGACCUCUUCUGACGCUGAGGCGCGAAAGCUAGGGGAGCAAACGGG
rnacentral:rRNA from 1 species